GAUUUAGUAUAAAUUUCUGUUUUGAAAGCAGGCGAAGAGAUUUGAUUUCUCCUAAGUUU
rnacentral:tRNA from 1 species